UGAGAUGUGACUCAGUGGUGGAGUGAAUGCCUGGCAUGCAGAGAGUCCUAGGUUCAACCGCUGGCAUCUUCA
rnacentral:tRNA from 1 species